AACGAACGCUGGCGGCGUGCCUAACACAUGCAAGUCGAGCGCGAAAGGGGGGGCAACUCCCCGAGUAGAGCGGCGCACGGGUGAGUAACGCGUGGGUAACCUACCUCCGGGCGGGGGAUAACGACUCGAAAGGGUCGCUAAUACCGCAUGAGACCACGGGGUCCUCGGAUCCUGGGGCCAAAGGCGGCAUCGGCUUGCCGGUGCUGUCACCUGGAGAUGGGCCCGCGUCCGAUUAGCUAGUUGGCAGGGUAACGGCCUACCAAGGCUCCGAUCGGUAGCUGGUCGGGGAGGAUGACCAGCCCAACUGGAACUGGAACACGGUCCAGACUCCUACGGGAGGCAGCAGUGAGGAAUAUUGCGCAAUGGGGGAAACCCUGACGCAGCAACGCCGCGUGGGUGAAGAAGGCCUUCGGGUCGUAAAGCCCUUUCGGACGGGACGAACGCUUCGCGGCGACAACCCGCGAAGUCUGACGGUACCGUAGGAAGAAGCACCGGCUAACUCCGUGCCAGCAGCCGCAGUAAUAC
rnacentral:rRNA from 1 species